AACGCACAUUGCGCCCCCUGGUAUUCCGGGGGGCAUGCCUGUUCGAGCGUCAUUACAACCCUCAAGCUCUGCUUGGUAUUGGGCGCCACCCCCGGGUGCGCCUCAAAGUCAGUGGCGGUGCCGUCUGGCUUCAAGCGUAGUAAUACUUCUCGCUUUGGAGUCCGGGCGAGCGUCCUGCCAAAACCCCCAUAUUUUUUUCAGGUUGACCUCGGAUCAGGUAGGGAUACCCGCUGAACUUAA
rnacentral:misc_RNA from 1 species